rnacentral:rRNA from 1 species
UACGAAGGUGGCAAGCGUUGUUCGGAUUCACUGGGCGUACAGGGUGUGUAGGCGGUUUGGUAAGCCUUCUGUUAAAGCUUCGGGCCCAACCCGGAAAGCGCAGAGGGUACUGCCAGGCUAGAGGACGGGAGAGGAGCGCGGAAUUCCCGGUGUAGCGGUGAAAUGCGUAGAGAUCGGGAGGAACACCAGUGGCGAAGGCGGCCUUCUGGGCCUAUCCUGACGCUGAGGAGCGAAAGCGUGGGGAGCAAACCGG